GUUGAGAAUAAAUUCAUGUCUUUUGAUCAACUUAGAAUAUAUUUUUUUCUAAAUUAAUCAGUGAUGGACUUCUCUGAAAAGAAAUUUAAAGGCCCAACUGAAUUAACGACACAGAGGACAAUAGUUAUUGUAUUUAUUCAGUGGGACAAUAGAACAGACAAAAUUUCAAAUACCUUGACCAAGAGGAGAUGACUCUGGAAAACUUGCAUUUGGUUCCAAUAAGGAAAGUAAAAA
rnacentral:lncRNA from 1 species